AUGGUUGUCUCCCCCCCGAUGGCCUCUGGAGAGAUGGCAUUGUUUUUGUUGCAAAACUUAUCAGGGAGAAGAGCAGAUGCAAGAAGAGGUUUUGUGAUGUUCCUAACUACGCAUAUCUUCUUACAACAAGCAUUUUCCUCCCUGAAUGUAUCUGGGUUACUCCCUUUUGGGAGUAACGGAUUUUGUAUCUUUGUAUCAGCCCUUGGGUUGUCCCCUUUGUAGUUGAGAUCGAGUGGUGAAACCAUUGAGAUUUUUGUAUUUUCUUGUUUUGGAAUGUAAUCCUUGAAAGGAAAUUUCCGUUAUUUGCGUAGGUUCCGCUUCUUCUGUGGGAAGGUCAGGAAUUUUCUUGCUGAAAUAAUUCUAGAACUGGUGCGUGACCUUUGAACUUCUUGUUAUUUACCGUACUGCCAUGGGGUGUCCUUAUUUAACUGUUCGAGUAGAUGUAGGUUUAGCACGCUUCCUUAACCUCUUCCGCCGCCGCCAAAAAACUCAUCUGCUCUUCGCCUCCAAGUGCCACAGGAAACUAGCCACCGCUAGCCCCUAAGCGUGAAGCAAGAGAGAAUCUGUUUUUCUCUGUUCCCAUGGCGCCGAAGAAAUCCGCUGCGAAAGGAAAGGCGAGCGGCGCUGCCGAGGACGGGGCGGAGGUCCAAGAGUGGAAGUCGAGUAAGUGUACCGACUCCCAUCUUUUGAACCUAGUAGAGAGUCACCUUCUUCAGCCUCGGAGCGUGAUCCAUUGGAGACGUUCGGAUGGGGAGUCUUUUCCUCAUGAAGGGGGAAACGAAUCUGUCGUUUUCCUUCCUCAUGUUCUUUGGGGCCUCAGUUUUCCCAUUUCUGAUUUCUCCCGAGGCCUUCUUCAUCAUUGGGGGGUUCAGGUGCAUCAUCUGACCCCUAACUCUAUUCUUCACAUCUCGAUCUUUGUUCAUCUGUGUGAAGCCUUUCUGGGGAUUGAGCCCCACUUUGAUCUUUUCCAGUAUUUCUUUCGUUUGAAACCCCAGCCUAGCGAAUCGAAGAUAGAUGUUGUUGGGGGUGCUGGGUUACAGUUUCGUCAGGGGAAGAAACCCCAAUACAUCUCCUAUGAGUUGAGUGACAAGGUCAUCGACUGGAAGGAGAUGUGGUUUUACGUUAGGAAUCUUCUUCUCUUCCCUUGCGUACUCCUGGUCUCCCUGUGAAGAGACCAAGUUGGAAUUCCAGGGGUGGCAAUGUAGAUCAUGUCAAUUUUCUCCUUGGAGAAAUCGAGAAGGUGAAGGCGGAUCACCGGGUCUGCGGUGCUUCUGUGAUUGCGCAUUGGUCAAUGCGGAGGAUCCAGCCGCUACAGCGACGGGUACAUUUGGGCUUUCAGUAUAUGGGAGGAACGGAUCCUUCCCGUUAUAGCCGAUCCAAGAUUACUGAGGAUGAUCUGAAGGAUCGAGUGAUGCAAUUGCUGAAGAACAUGGCUGGUACGGCCAAUAUUGCUAGGACUUUCAGUGCUGGUAGACGUCCUCGGGAGGUAUUGCUUUGUGUAGAAGCAUGUAGUUUCAGUCGAGUACUUUUGUCGUGUAGUCGAGUUGAUCUGGUGUCUUUCGUGCAGAUUAAUCCCGAAAACUAUCAAAGUAGGCCUCCGCUGCCGGAAGAUGUGCCUUUGGCGCAUACUGACUCAAGUGUGCAUCUGACUCCUUUUGUCUUGUAUUUUGGUUCGAAUUGACCGUUGGAUCCUCGAUUGAUUACAGUUGUAUCUUCUUUUGUAGGUCCGUCGGCCAGUCGGACGGCGUCUGAUGUCCAGGGCCGGACAGCGGACGAGCCGGCAGUUGAGUCUACGAGGACUUGGAAGCAGAGCGCCACUUCUGCUGGGAGUAGUGACAGGUGAGUACGGGUUGUUACUUUUUUGAGGUGUUGCGUUUGAUCUUGAUGUCUUUUCCUCUUCUUAGGCCUCCUUCUCCCUCCAAGAGGCAGGCGGUGAGCUCCAUUGUGAGCCCCAUUGUCGUGACUCUUUUUGCGCCGGCUGAGUCCGGUGGGAGUGGCUCUGCCAAGGGGCAGAGUGCUUCGGGGCUGAGUAUGGUCCCGAAAUUUACUAAGCCAAAGAAAUUUGUGCUUAAACACUCCUCUCAGUAAGUGUAAUUGUUGAUCGACUGAUUUGCCUUCUUUGAUUUUGUGAUUGAAGUGUUGAGUACUUCUUUUCGUAGCAAUCUAGAAGCCCUUGGGAUUGAUGAGUCGGAGAAGGGAAUUUUUGGUUCCCUUAAGAACAUUGCCCAGUUGCCUCUUGGUUCGCCGAAGAAGGAUGAUCGGGUGGCUGAUUCCGCUGCUAGAAUGGCGGAAAACCUAGUCACCGAGGAGGCAGAGAAGAAUUCUCCGGUCACUGGCACUGGAGGUGCCGCGGCGGGAGAAGUUGGCCGAGGGGUCUAUUGCUGUUGCCCAGGGGAUUUUGGGCUGCCAUUCCUCUCUUGUUGAUCUGGCCAAGCAAGUGGUUGAGCAAGCCGAGUUCCUUCGGCGGACCGGCGAGGAUCUCCAGUUGACGGGUGACCAAGCGCUGCAGCUUGAGAGGAUCGCUGCUCUUGAGAGGUCUUCUCGGGAGCAGUCGGAAAAGAUCAAGCUCUUGGAGGCCCGGGUGGAGGCUUUGGAGCAGGAUAAUUCUACUCUGAAAGACAAGGCCUCCAAGCUGUAGGAGAAGGCCAAGGCUGCUGCCAAGGAGAAGAAAGAUGCUGUGGAAAAGCUGACAAAAUCAAGGCUGACGAUGAUAAACAGAUGAUCGGUGAUAUGAAGCAGAUCAGGGAGCUAUCCCAGCAGUUGGCUGAUCUUGAGGUGGCGGCCAAAGUAGUCGUCGACAUGGUGGAGGACGAGGGAGCUGCCGAGAAAAGUCUGCUGGAGCGUCUUCGUGAAGCCCCUCAGUGACUUAGUAGCUUUUUCUCCGACACUUCUAGGGAGUACUUAGCCCAUGCCUUAGGAUUAGUCAAAUCCUUUCUUCCUUCCGCGAACUUGGCCCUUAUUGGUGAUGGGGUGGCCGUUGGCUGCUCAGAGGAGAGAUUCUCUGAGUAUGUUGUGGAGAUGAAACCCAUUGCUGAUAGGGUUAUAAGUGGCUUGGAGCCUGCGCUAGAGGCUUGAACAAUUGUUUGUAAUAUUCCUUUGGCUUUUGUGUGGACGGGUGUCCAUUGCAGUACUUUUGUCAUUCUGAUGUAUAGUACUUU